GAUGGUAAAAAAGAAAUUUGUGGUUUUAGCUAAAAAUAUAAUAUUGUGGUUUUGAUAGGAAAUGUGCUUUUGCAGUUUUAAUGAGAAUGUUAUUUUAUGACUUUGACGGGCUAAAUUGCCAGCUACCAAAUCAAGUUCUAAACAAUGUAUAAGAUGAAUUUUUUUUAUUAAAUCAUUAAUCAGUUUUACAAACAAUGUAUCAAUUAACAAGUCUUUUGUAACAUCAUACAACAAUUUAUCAAUUCUUUGAUACCAAACUCUCUAUUAGCUAACAACAAAUGUACGAGGUAACAAAUCAUUUAGCAGAUAGUAAACUAUUUAUCAAUUAACAUAUUAACUCACAAAUCAUGUAUCAACUCAUUUGUUAGCAAUCAAACCAAGUACUAAACAAUGUACAACCUGACAACCCACUUAUCAAA
rnacentral:lncRNA from 1 species